ensembl:lncRNA
AAAAUCGACAGCUAAUUACUACCCCGAAACAUAUUCAAAUAUGAUCAUGUGUGGCACUGUUGCAAUCGCCUCGAAACGUAGAUGUCAAAGGACAACUUGUUUGCCCCGUUACGCCACCGGGUAGAUAUUUUCAUACUUCUAAUGGAUUGAUUCAUAUUUUAAGGUUCUCGGAGUGAGACUUUAAACGGCUGCAGCCGAAGUGUUGAGACGAAAGAUGAUAUCAAGACAUUUAUAGAAUAUUCCCAUUCACAUUAUGAUUCUUCGUCAUAACAUCCGACCAAACAUCCUUUACAGUCACCGAGUGAGGAUUAUGAAAGUCCAGGCCCCCCCUUCCUGCACUCGGGGUCCGACUGGGCCAAGUUUCGGUGCGGGGGUCCCAGUUAGGCCUUAAGGUGCGAACACACCAACCGCGUACCUCGCGUAUAGACGCGUAUAAAAUCGGCAAUUUUUCCAUAGGGAACCAUUGGUUUACGCGCGUACGAGGUGCGUACACGCGUAUCAUGCGUACUGUGGUAGAAAUUAGUGAGUAUAUUUUAUGGUAAACCAUGAUUAUUAAUAGGUUUUAUAUUUUUAAUUGUGGAAAGCAUUGUGCUUGCAGAAUCUGAGUUCAGAACAGAUGGUAAGCAGAAAUGUCCUGGGAACUGCGGGGUCAAGUCAUGUUGACCUCACCCUGUCAGCCCUGGGUCAUUUUGGCUAACGAGGUCAAUCCAUGCUGACCUCAGACCAGGGCGCGGUUGAUAACAUGCUGAGACGAAGAUUGACUGGGCGGAAACCCCAUUGGAACAAAGGGAACCUCCAUUGUAACAAAGAAAUUCUUGUAUGUGUGUAUGUGCAUAAAGAGGAGCUGGAGUCUAUGUUCGCCAGUGACUCUGCAAACCCACUCAGGCUGUUGUCGUUGUUGUUUUUCUUCACGAUAAAGUCUUUUUCAAUUCUUGCUCCGGACCCCUCGAUUUCUUUUACUCUCUCUCUCUUAAAUUAGUCUAAGUGUUUUAAAUCUCGAUUAAUCUACGACAUAAUUUGGCGUCACGACCAGGAGGAAAUAGGGACUCGCCAGCUGCCGGGCCAGAGGACGGGACGCGAACGGAUCAUACGACCAGAGCUCAAGGUGUUCAACAGAUGAGUAGAAGCAGUCCCAUCAGAAGACCAAAGUGCGGCUACGGUAAUCAAGGUUCUGACUAGAGAAGUCAUGGCAAGGUUUGGAAUUCCGUCACAAAUUAGCUCAGGCGACAGAGCAGCGUUUAGUCAGAAAACACUCAAACAAGUGAUUUAACAUCUGCAUGUCAAACAAAGAUUAGGCUGUGUCUACAUUCCUCAAACCACAAGGUAUGGUGGAGAGAGGAAUCGGACGCUUAAGACAAAGAUGAACAAAAUUAAAUUAGAGUACUAAAUUAAAGGACUAAUGCAUUACGACUGACACUAAUGAGUUAUCGCAUGAAAACUAACAGAACGACGCAUCUAACCCCGCAUGAAAUGUUUACGGGUCGACCCAUGCCUUCACCUGUCAUUCGAGGGCCUCAUAAAGGACCUCCAUUAGAACAAUUGGAAACUGAAUUAAGACGUUAUAUGGGACAACUAACUGGCAUACACAGGCUUAUUUUUCAACAAGAGAAAGGCAGAGUUCCAGAGUUGGAGAAGGAGCCACCAAGGGG